rnacentral:rRNA from 1 species
AGAUUAAGUUAUUAAGGGCGCACGGUGGAUGCCUUGGCACUAGAAGCCGAUGAAGGACGUUACUAACGACGAUAUGCUUUGGGGAGCUGUAAGUAAGCUUUGAUCCAGAGAUUUCCGAAUGGGGAAACCCAGCAUGAG